CUACGGGGGGCUGCAGUGAGGAAUAUUGCACAAUGGGGGGAACCCUGAUGCAGCAACGCCGCGUGGAGGAUGACGCAAUUCGGUGUGUAAACCCCUUUUAUAUGUCAAGAAAAUGACGGUAGCAUAUGAAUAAGCACCGGCUAACUCCGUGCCAGCAGCCGCGGUAAUACGGAGGGUGCAAGCGUUACUCGGAAUCACUGGGCGUAAAGGACGCGUAGGCGGGUUGGAAAGUCAGGUGUGAAAUCCUACAGCUUAACUGUAGAACUGCACUUGAAACUUCUAAUCUAGAGUAUGGGAGGGGGAGAUGGAAUUAGUGGUGUAGGGGUAAAAUCCGUAGAUAUCACUAGGAAUACCUAAAGCGAAGGCGAUCUCCUGGAACAUUACUGACGCUAAGGCGUGAAAGCGUGGGGAGCAAACAGGAUUAGAUACCCGAGUAGUC
rnacentral:rRNA from 1 species